rnacentral:rRNA from 3 species
AUGCUGGAGGUAUCAGAAGUGCGAAUGCUGACAUAAGUAACGAUAAAGCGGGUGAAAAGCCCGCUCGCCGGAAGACCAAGGGUUCCUGUCCAACGUUAAUCGGGGCAGGGUGAGUCGACCCCUAAGGCGAGGCCGAAAGGCGUAGUCGAUGGGAAACAGGUUAAUAUUCCUGUACUUGGUGUUACUGCGAAGGGGGGACGGAGAAGGCUAUGUUGGCCGGGCGACGGUUGUCCCGGUUUAAGCGUGUAGGCUGGUUUUCCAGGCAAAUCCGGAAAAUCAAGGCUGAGGCGUGAUGACGAGGCACUACGGUGCUGAAGCAACAAAUGCCCUGCUUCCAGGAAAAGCCUCUAAGCAUCAGGUAACAUCAAAUCGUACCCCAAACCGACACAGGUGGUCAGGUAGAGAAUACCAAGGCGCUUGAGAGAACUCGGGUGAAGGAACUAGGCAAAAUGGUGCCGUAACUUCGGGAGAAGGCACGCUGAUAUGUAGGUGAAGUCCCUCGCGGAUGGAGCUGAAAUCAGUCGAAGAUACCAGCUGGCUGCAACUGUUUAUUAAAAACACAGCACUGUGCAAACACGAAAGUGGACGUAUACGGUGUGACGCCUGCCCGGUGCCGGAAGGUUAAUUGAUGGGGUCAGCGCAAGCGAAGCUCUUGAUCGAAGCCCCGGUAAACGGCGGCCGUAACUAUAACGGUCCUAAGGUAGCGAAAUUCCUUGUCGGGUAAGUUCCGACCUGCACGAAUGGCGUAAUGAUGGCCAGGCUGUCUCCACCCGAGACUCAGUGAAAUUGAACUCGCUGUGAAGAUGCAGUGUACCCGCGGCAAGACGGAAAGACCCCGUGAACCUUUACUAUAGCUUGACACUGAACAUUGAGCCUUGAUGUGUAGGAUAGGUGGGAGGCUUUGAAGUGUGGACGCCAGUCUGCAUGGAGCCGACCUUGAAAUACCACCCUUUAAUGUUUGAUGUUCUAACGUUGACCCGUGAUCCGGGUUGCGGACAGUGUCUGGUGGGUAGUUUGACUGGGGCGGUCUCCUCCUAAAGAGUAACGGAGGAGCACGAAGGUUGGCUAAUCCUGGUCGGACAUCAGGAGGUUAGUGCAAUGGCAUAAGCCAGCUUGACUGCGAGCGUGACGGCGCGAGCAGGUGCGAAAGCAGGUCAUAGUGAUCCGGUGGUUCUGAAUGGAAGGGCCAUCGCUCAACGGAUAAAAGGUACUCCGGGGAUAACAGGCUGAUACCGCCCAAGAGUUCAUAUCGACGGCGGUGUUUGGCACCUCGAUGUCGGCUCAUCACAUCCUGGGGCUGAAGUAGGUCCCAAGGGUAUGGCUGUUCGCCAUUUAAAGUGGUACGCGAGCUGGGUUUAGAACGUCGUGAGACAGUUCGGUCCCUAUCUGCCGUGGGCGCUGGAGAACUGAGGGGGGCUGCUCCUAGUACGAGAGGACCGGAGUGGACGCAUCACUGGUGUUCGGGUUGUCAUGCCAAUGGCACUGCCCGGUAGCUAAAUGCGGAAGAGAUAAGUGCUGAAAGCAUCUAAGCACGAAACUUGCCCCGAGAUGAGUUCUCCCUGACUCCUUGAGAGUCCUGAAGGAACGUUGAAGACGACGACGUUGAUAGGCCGGGUGUGUAAGCGCAGCGAUGCGUUGAGCUAACCGGUACUAAUGAACCGUGAGGCUUAACCUU